rnacentral:rRNA from 1 species
UACGUAGGGUGCAAGCGUUAUCCGGAUUUAUUGGGCGUAAAGGGCUCGUAGGCGGUUCGUCGCGUCCGGUGUGAAAGUCCAUCGCUUAACGGUGGAUCCGCGCCGGGUACGGGCGGGCUUGAGUGCGGUAGGGGAGACUGGAAUUCCCGGUGUAACGGUGGAAUGUGUAGAUAUCGGGAAGAACACCAAUGGCGAAGGCAGAUCUCUGGGCCGUUACUGACGCUGAGGAGCGAAAGCGUGGGGAGCGAACAGG